rnacentral:tRNA from 1 species
GUGGGUGUAGCUUAGUGGUAGGGUGUGUGCUUAGCAUGCACAAGGGUCGUGGGUUCAAUCCCAAGUACCUCCA